rnacentral:lncRNA from 1 species
GGCUGCACCUAUAGAAGUUCCCAGUCUAAGGGUCGAAUCAGAGCUGCAGCCGCUGGCCUAUGCCAUAGCCACAGCCACAACCAAGCUGUGUCUGCAAACUUCACUUGAGCUUCUGGCAAUGCCGGAUCCUUAACCCUCUGAGCAAGGCCAGGGGUCGAACCCACAUCCUCAUGGAUACCAGUCAGGUUCGUUACCACUGAGCCACAAUGGGAACUCCCCCAUAGUGACUUUAAUGCAUACACACCAUAUCCCGUAUCCCCUCUAGUUGAACCAGUGCUUCCCAAGGCCACUAUGAGCCAGGCAGAGUAUAAAUUGGUCUUUGCUUUCACACUCUGUGACCUUGGGGGAUUCGCAUUCUCAAGGAAACUGUUUUCCUGCCCGAGGGUUUACAUUUAAUACCUAGUCUCUUACUGAAAACAUGUAGCUGGUGAAUGACUUUGAACUCCUUGAAAAAGCAAUGAGCUCCUCAUAACAAAAGCGAUGUGUGAGAAGAUGUUAUUAUUAACUCCCUAGACAUCCUUCAGAGUGUCAAAAUCACCUACCCAAGGAGCAGGGAGUCUAAUAUGGGUACAAAUUCCUCCCAUCUUGAUAUUCUGUUUCAGGGUUUUAAUUUGCGCCAGACUCACACAUCAUGGGUCCCAUGAAAGACAAUAGUUGUCUGCAAGAUCUCAUCACCACCCUGUCCCCAAACUUUCUGAAACUCUGGGGACCCCAAGGCAAAGGUGGAGAGAUUCUGUCAGAUCAUUCGCACCCUAUUCCCAGAGGUCAUCUGCAAGGCCAAAGUGCCAACAUUUGCCUGGGUCUAUGAUCCAGUCCCUCAGCUAUCAAUGACAUGCAUCUGGAAAAUUUAUUCCAUAAUGAUAAAAAAAUCCAUGUGUUACAGUUCUGGUCUUCAUAACCCUUUCUGGUCAAGGAAUUAGCCUUCCCCUUAUGAAAUAAGAAAAGGUAUCAACAGAGACCAAUGCUAGCUUUCUGACAUAAAAGAAAGGGAAAGGAAUUGAUACUAAAUUGGGAAAUCUAAUGUUUACCUAUUGGCUUCACUCUCUCACACACACACACACACACACACACACACACACAAACACACACACACACACUAUAGAUAUAGAGAGAUAGUCACAGACACAGAUAUCGAUGUUCAUUUCCCCCCAAUACAAUCCUUCAGGUAGAUGGAUUAUCUCAUUAGUGGAUGUGUAAACUGAGUCACAGAACAUCAAAAUCCUAAACUCCUCUCAGCUAAGUGAUCACCGAUUCUCAUUCAUUAUUUAUCCUGUUUGCUGGUCAGGAACUAGAUCUGUCUCAUUCAUCUCAGAUCCCCCCACCUAGCAGAGGGUUUGGCACAUAGUCGGUGCUCAGUGAAAUUUGACUCCCAUCUGUGAAGCCUGUUAUUCAUUAUAACUUGUGACACUGUCCCAUCCUCACCAGCUCUUCAUUUAUUCAGUGACAUUUCCUUGACUACCUACUAUGUGCCAGACCCUGUGCUAGGCAAAGGGAUACAGGAUGUUUCUCACCAUCCUAUAAAUGACAACUCGUGAAUACAUAUUACUUAGUUGAACGCUAAAAGGAAUGGAAAAGUUUCCUACAAAGGGCAUGAAAGUCAGAAGCAGGAGAGGAUAAGUGGGUGACAUACACCACCUUACAUUGGAUGUCAGGGUUAGGGAACUCCUUCUCUUGGAAGGUCACCGUGACCUUUUGUCAUGUCCACACACCUCAGGCUUUAAGCCUUAUGGUCAAGAUUUCAUUGCCUUUGAAACAAGGCAAUGAAAUCUAGAAUCUAGGGUUGCCAGAUUUAGCAAAUUAAAACACUGGACUCCCAGUUACAUUUGAUUUUUGGAUAAGCAGUGAUGUCUAGUACAUCUCAAAUAUUGCAUGGGAUAGACUUACACUAAAAUAUUUUUAUCAGAAAUUCACAAUGAAUUAGGUGUCUUGCAUUUUCUCUCUCAAACUUAUCAGAGACUCAUUCAGUCAUUUUAAAGGUAAAUAGAAUAUAAUGUAGAUUCUACUGAAAUAGAGGUUGGAGACCUAAAUUUGAUAGGGUGUCAAUUACAUAUUUCAAUUACUGAGAAGAGUUCACUUUCAAAGAAGGAAGCAGUGUCUGCAUAAGUUCUUUUUCUGUCAUGAUUAAUGUGCCAACGAAGGCAAGAGAGAACACCAAGCCUGGGACCCAGCAAACACUCCACAUCAACUGUGGUCAUUGAAUUAUUUUCAUUAUUUCUGGUGUGGAGUGCUCAUUAAUCCAUUAUGCUAAAAUCUAGUGAAGCUUAUUAUUUUCCAAGUACACUGUCCCAUCCUCACCAGCUCUUCAUUUAUUCAGUGACAUACUGGGGCUUUUCAUAUACAAGAUCACUCUUAAUCCUUUCAGCACUCUUAGGAGAAAAAUAUCACCCUGAGAUCACAGAUGAGGAAACUGAGGCUGAGUGAUGCAGUAUUUUGCCCAAUGUGGGAGAAUAUGUGUUUUAACCUAAUUUACCCCUGAUUCCAAGCCCUAUGGCUUCUCUACUACAAUAAGUGCAAGUGCAAGGUGUUUGGGUUUUAAUUGAAAACCUCACCAUAAAGGAAAGAAAAUGAAUUCAGGAUAGCUAAGUCUAAUUAAGCAGUGUUAAAUAUAUCUUGUGUAUUUUUGCAGUAAGGCUCUUUGCUGUGUGUGGUUGCUGGUGACAGGUCACCCACCUAUCUUCUUUGCAGACAUAAAUAACACCAAGCAUCUGGAAGGAGGUGUGGAAAUCUGCACAAAGAAUGAAAGGCACUUUGGUACAGAAAUGCCACAUUUGCUAGAAUAAACAGAAGCCCCAGUCAGCACUGGAUCGCAGGCCUUAGACCCUGCUCUACUGACCCAAGACAAAGGGAGGGGCAGAAUGGGGGAAUGAAUGACCCCAAUACCAUCACCUUGGGGUGCAGUGAGUAGGUGUCCCUCCCUCUGAGGUGGGAUGGGACUCAAGUCCUCGGGACUCCCCUUAAGCUCCUUGUUCUCCAGUACAAUAUCAUUCCAUUGGCUAAACAUUAAAGGACCUCAAAGGGGGACAAUGUCUAUGAAGUCCUGGGUUGUUUAUCCAGUAUCUGAAAGUCCCCAGACAGGAAUAAGGUGUUGCGCAGAGCGGGGGACAAAACCACAACAGCCUGCAAAGCUGUUCUUCUGGGUAAGCGUGAGUAAUAAACAUAACAACAAAACCGACAUCCCGGGUGUAUAAUUUCCACAGCUCCCUGGAGUGUGAGUAUGAUAGUCAUAAUUAUGCUAAUUUUUCAGCUGAGGUCCCAGAAGCCCCGAGAGGUUGGUUAUGUGCCUCUCCCAAAGUUUCUGAGCACACCCACAAGAGAGCCAGAAACCAGAGGUGGGGGCAGAGCAGUUGCCGGUGAUGCUGGAUUGCAGGCUGCCCAACAAUGUUCUCUACCUUCUCUUUCAUCACUGGAGAGGAACCUCUCUGAGGCUAGUAUCUCCACUUGCACCAAAGCCAAUAACCCUUUUUCCACCCAAAGUCAUCAUUCCAAAGCUUAAGUCCACCAGCUCCAUCAAUUGCGACUUUGCUCCUUGAUCAUCCUCAUCAGCAUGUAAACACCUGCUGCCCAUGUAGAAUCAUUCACAUGCAUCCACACCUGUACGCAUGGAUACAUACACAGAUAUGUGCCAGUCUCCUCUCUCCCCAUCUCGCUCCCAUGCUGUGCCAUUAUUCCUUUAACAUAAAAAAGAUGGAUUGCUAAAUGGAUGUACGAUUGGAUAAAUGGACAUGAGUAGGCAAAUCUAUUAAAAGGUUAAGAAUAGAAUCUAGGAGGGGGAGUACGUGUAUUCACUGUACUCUUCUUUCAGCCUUUCUGCAUGUGUGAAAACUUUCAAAGUGAAAUAUUGGGAGGCAACUACUUUCCUUUCCUCCUAUGACCUUCUGAAACCACUCCCAAUAAGGCUUUCAUCACCACUAUAUCCCAAGUUCUCAUCAGUCACCCGUGACCUUCAUGUUGCUAAAUACAGUGGUCACUCCCCAACCCUCUUACUUGAUCUGUUGGCAGUGUUUGACUCUCUUCUUCCAAUACGGUUUUGCCCACUCAGUUUCUGGGGAAUCACUCUCAGUUUUCCUCAUAAGUCAUUAGCUUUUCCUUCUUGGUCUCUUUACCUGUUUUGUUCUCACCUUUUCUAUAGGGAAUAGUAGUGAGCCAUAGGACUUCUUCCUUAGACUACUUUUCUUUCUUUCUUUCUUUCUUUCUUUCUUUCUUUCUUUCUUUCUUUCUUUUCUUUCUUUCUUUCUUUCUCUUUCUUUCCUUCCUUCCUUCCUUCUUUCUCUUUCAUUCCCUUCCUUUCUUCCUGCCUUCCUAUCUCUUUCUUCCUUCCCUCCUUCCUUUUUAAGGGCCUCACCUGUGGCAUAUGGAAGUUCCCAGGCUAGGGGUUGAAUUGGAGCUGCAGCUUGUAGUCUAUACCACAACAAUGCUCAGAUCCAAGCCACCUCUUCCACCUAUACCACAGCUCACAGCAAUGCCUGAUUGCUGACCCACUGAGUGAAGCCAGGGAUCAAACCUAAGUACUCAUGGAUACUAGCUGGGUUCAUUACCACUGAGCCAUGGUGGGAACUCCCCUUAGACUCCUUUUCUAUUCAUACUCCUCUGCUGAGUUCAUCCAGUCUCAUUUUCAGUGAUAUCUUUAUAGAUGACCUGCAAAUAUUGAUCUGUAGCCUAGACCUUGCCCCUGAGCUCUAGAUUUCUAUAUUGAACUGCCUACUCCAUAUCUGGACUUGGAGGUCUAGUAGACACCUCAGUCUUGAAAUAUCCAAAGACAAACUCCUGGUUUUAUACCAGCACCCCUCGUUUCACUCACAUCUGCUUAUCACCCUGUGAACAAGUCCAGCCUUGCCAGAUGGAGGAUAAGAGGUCAUGUAGAGAUAAGGCAUUCUGUCAACUGCAAGACCUCCAAGUGAGGCCAUCCCAGAACAGUCACCAGCCAACAAACCAGCUAAUGGUAUGUGUGGUCUCAGGAGAGACCAGCCAAGUCAACCAACCUAUCUCACAGAAUUAUGAGACCAAUAAAGGUUGUUUUCUUAAAACAUUAAUACUUGGGAUAGGGAGUUCCUGUUGUGGCUCAGUGGUAACAAACCCAAUUAGUAUCCACGGGGACACUGGUUCAAUCCCUGGCCUUGCCCAGUGGGCUAAGGAUCCAGCGUUGCCAUGAGCUGUGGUGUAGGUGGAAGACGCAGCUCAGAUACUGCAUGGUUGUGGCUGUGGCAUAGGCCAGCAGCCACAGCUCCGACUGGACCCCUAGCCUGGGAAUGUCUAUAUCCUGUGGUUGCAGCACUAAAAAACAAAACAAAACAACAACAAAAAACCCACCUGUGAUUGUUUAUUCUUAAUGAGAAAUUCCAGAUUACCUAAAUUUUCUAGAAAGUAUGUGUAAUUUUAGGCAGAAAGAGUCACUUUUGAAGAAAGGCAAUUACCUAAUUCUCUAAAUGCAUGAAUUGGGAGCUGGCCUUGUCAUCUGCCCUUAUUUCCUUGAAUAUGGUCCCGUAAGCUGCCCCAAUUUUCUUACCUAGGAGAGUUUCUUUUGAGAUUCUUGGGUAGAGCUUUCUGCAUGCUUCAUCUAGGCUGUA